rnacentral:rRNA from 1 species
GACGGAAGGUGCAAGCGUUGCUCGGAAUCACUGGGCGUAAAGGGUGCGUAGGCGGCUUCUUAAGUCUGGUGUGAAAGCCCAGGGCUCAGCUCUGGAAGUGCACUAGAAACUGGGGAGCUUGAGUACCGGAGGGGAGAGUGGAAUUCCUGGUGUAGCGGUGAAAUGCGUAGAUAUCAGGAGGAAUACCGGUGGCGAAAGCGACUCUCUGGACGGUUACUGACGCUGAGGCGCGAAAGCGUGGGGAGCAAACAGG